AAUAAUAUCGCGUGCCUAAAGGUAAAAGGGCGCAUAUUUUUUUUUUAUUGCCAAUCGAGUAGUAGACACAUUCUGCGCUUAAAAUUGAAAAAAAAAUUACAAACAAAUUACUUAAUU